GGACGAACGCUGGCGGCGCGCCUAACACAUGCAAGUCGAGCGAGAACCAGAGCUUCGGUUCUGGGGAAAGCGGCGAACGGGUGAGUAACACGUGGGUAAUCUGCCCUCGGCGCCGGGAUAGCCCGGGGAAACCCGGAUUAAUACCGGAUGGCCUCUCGCGCUCUCGGGCGCGAAAGAAAAGGUGGCUUCGGCUUCUGGCCGAGGAUGAGCCCGCGGCCGAUUAGCUUGUUGGUGAGGUAAUGGCUCACCAAGGCUCCGAUCGGUAGCUGGUCUGAGAGUACGAUCAGCCACACUGGGACUGAGACACGGCCCAGACUCCUACGGGAGGCAGCAGUGGGGAAUCUUGCGCAAUGGGCGAAAGCCUGACCCAGCAAUGCCGCGUGUGUGAAGAAGGCCUGCGGGUUGUAAAGCACUUUCAGUGGGGAAGAAAGACUUGGUGUGAAUAGCGCCGAGUCUUGACGUU
rnacentral:rRNA from 1 species